UACGUAGGUGGCAAGCGUUUGUCCGGAUUUAUUGGGUUUAAAGGGUGCGUAGGCGGCUUUGUAAGUCAGUGGUGAAAUAUGGCAGCUCAACUGUCAAGGUGCCAUUGAUACUGCGGAGCUUGAGUACAGAUGAGGUAGGCGGAAUUGACGGUGUAGCGGUGAAAUGCUUAGAUAUCGUCAAGAACACCUAUAGCGAAGGCAGCUUACUAGGCUGUAACUGACGCUGAGGCACAAAAGUGUGGGGAUCAAACAGG
rnacentral:rRNA from 1 species